UACGAAGGGGGCUAGCGUUGCUCGGAAUCACUGGGCGUAAAGGGUGCGUAGGCGGGUCUUUUAAGUCAGGGGUGAAAUCCUGGAGCUCAACUCCAGAACUGCCUUUGAUACUGAGGAUCUUGAGUUCGGGAGAGGGUGAGUGGAACUGCGAGUGUAGAGGUGAAAUUCGUAGAUAUUCGCAAGAACACCAGUGGCGAAGGCGGCUCACUGGCCCGAUACUGACGCUGAGGCACGAAAGCGUGGGGGAGCAAACAGG
rnacentral:rRNA from 1 species